GGCUCGGUAGCUUAGUUGGUAAAGGGCUCGUCUACCAUACAAGGGACCUGGGUUUGAAUCCCACCCAAGCAA
rnacentral:tRNA from 1 species